rnacentral:rRNA from 1 species
UACGUAGGGUGCGAGCGUUAAUCGGAAUUACUGGGCGUAAAGCGUGCGCAGGCGGCGCGUUAAGCCAGGGGUGAAAGCCCCGAGCUUAACUUGGGAAUUGCGCUUGUGACUGGCGUGCUGGAGUGUGGCAGAGGGAGGUGGAAUUCCACGUGUAGCAGUGAAAUGCGUAGAGAUCGGGAAGAACACCAGUGGCGAAGGCGACGUGCUGGGUUGCACCUGACGCUGAGAUGCGAAAGUGUGGGGAGCAAACGGG